rnacentral:rRNA from 1 species
AGUAUAAAUAUUUAUCUGCUAAGCUAAGUGUUCAAAACAUUCUUUAAUCUAGUAAAGGUGAUUAAAACUUAUUUUAUGUUAUACCUUAAAAAAAGUACUGUGAAGGAAUAUAACAUGAAUUAAAUAAAAGAAAGAAUUAAAAUUUGUACCUUUUGCAUCAUGGCUUAACUAGAUAUCUACUUUUUAUUUAAGUAUCUCGAAAUCCAAUGAGCUAUUUUUAUUCAUUAUUUUAGUAAUUACAGACUAAUUGUAGCAAAAAUUUUCUCAGAAUUAAAAAUAGAAAUGAAAUUUUAUUCGUAUUGGAUGAUAGCUAGUUUUUCUUUAAAGGCAUAUAAGUGCUUAAAAUUAAUUUAACUUUUAUAAUAUAUAAUAAAAUUAAUUUUAAUUUAACUAAAUUUUAGAGGAUAACCUCUAAUGUCGUAAUCUAUAUUUGUAUGCAAUUUUUUAUUAAAAUUUGAGCUUGAAAAUAGCUAAAAUAUUGAUUUUGUUACAAUUUCAUUGAUCAACAAGGAAAAUAAUUUAUUUACUUAAUAAAAAAGGAAAAAACUUAUUAACCAAAAUUAAGCUUAACUCAUGUUAAUAUUAGUAUCAAGAAUUUCAUAACUUUUUAAUACAAUAUACAUAUAAAACUUUGUAUUGUAUAAUACCCUUAAAUCAGAAAAAGGAACUCGGCAAACACAUAUUCCGCCUGUUUAGCAAAAACAUCGCUCCCUGUAGAAAGAAAAUAAGGAGUCGGACCUGCCCAGUGAAUUUUCUUAACGGCCGCGGUACUCUGACCGUGCAAAGGUAGCAUAAUCAUUUGCCUUAUAAUUGAAGGCUGGUAUGAAUGGUUUGACAAGAAUAUAGCUGUCUCUUUCUGAUUAAAUAGAAUUUUAUUUAUAGGUGAAGAAGCCUAUAUUUAAUUAAAAGACAAGAAGACCCUAUCGAGCUUGAGAUAAGUUAGUAAGUUGAAUAUAUUAAUAAUAUUAAAAAAUUAAUUGCUAAAAACUUUGGUUGGGGCGACUGAGGAACAAAUAAAGCUUCCUUUAAUUAAAACAAAUCACACAAAUAUUUGAUCCAGAAAUUUCUGAUUAAAGAAAUUAGUUACCGUAGGGAUAACAGCAUUAUCUUUUUUAAGAGUUCUUAUCGAAAAGAAGGUUUGUGACCUCGAUGUUGGACCAGAAUAUCCUAAAGGUGCAGCAGUCUUUAAGGGUUGGUCUGUUCGACCAUUAAAAUUCUACGUGAUCUGAGUUCAGACCGGCGUGAGCCAGGUCAGUUUCUAUCUUUAAUUUUCUUAAUAAAUUUAGUACGAAAGGACCAGUUUAUUAUAAUAACUUAUUAAAAAUGAAAAAAUAUAAUCACAGAUCGGAA